UACGUAGGGUGCAAGCGUUAAUCGGAAUUACUGGGCGUAAAGCGUGCGCAGGCGGUUAUGCAAGACAGGUGUGAAAUCCCCGAGCUUAACUUGGGAACUGCACUUGUGACUGCAUAGCUAGAGUACGGUAGAGGGGAGUGGAAUUCCGCGUGUAGCAGUGAAAUGCGUAGAUAUGCGGAGGAACACCGAUGGCGAAGGCAGCUCCCUGGACCUGUACUGACGCUCAUGCACGAAAGCGUGGGGAGCAAACAGG
rnacentral:rRNA from 1 species